AGCCUGCUAGGAGGUGCCCUCCAAAGCCUCCUUCUCACCUUUUUGUUCUUGGUUACCAUGCAAAGAGAAAAAGAUAGUUUUGUUCUUGGCAUCCUGGCCUGGAGUGUCUGAGAAACAGCAAGUUUUCCCCAGACAUCGGUUCUGUAUUUCCCAUCGGAGCGAGUCCAGCGAAGAGCAGCAUGUUAAGACAUUAACUGCCCAAGGACGAGCUCAGUGAGAGCAAGCGACUUUCCCAACAUUAUGGAGAGAGGAGAUGCUGUUACUGGUACCGUCCUGGACCAAGGUCAGCACACUUGGCUGACUAAGCUCAGGAGGCAGUAAGCAGGCUCCGAAAAGCAGUUGCGGGCAGUGCAUGCAGUCUCUUCAUUGUCAAAACAACAGUAGGCUUCAUGCAGCCAAAUGAGUUCUCUUUAAUACCUUGAAAGGACCCUGGAAAAGCCUUGGGCCUGCGCAGAGUGACAAGGCCAAGAGAAAUCCUUCACCCUGUCCGUCUUUACUUAGCACCUCCCGUUUUGAUGUGAAGUUUCUAGGUUUUGUCAUGGCCACUGUGGUUGCUAUAGAAACAGAGCAACAAAUAUUUGGAGGCCAGCAACACCUUUCCCCCAGAAGCCCAGUCAAGAAUGUUUGGGAGCAGGCCCCUGCCCAUCAGGCUGCUGUUGUUGCAGUUGAAUGCAGCCUUUGUGAUUAGCCUUCUGGCCUGCCACCAGGCUCCAAAGAGAUGACUAGGCUCAGAUCUCUUUAAAUAGUGUUUGUGUUUCAGUCAUCCAUAAGGAGGGGUGGGUGGGAAGCUCAGUCUCACUGUGCGGAUAUCAUUCAGGAGAGCAGAGCCAGGGUGCUGUGAGCGGUGUAUACUGCCCUUCACCAGGAGCAGCACUCAGGAGGCUCUGCUCGCAGCAUCCUGCAAUGUCCUGGCUAGGGAAGUCCGUGUUAGCACUGUCAUCCUGUAGGUGAGAAGAUGGGUACUGGUGGAAGACACAGAUGCUUCAGGUUAGCAACUAGCAAAGAGGAUAGUGCCGUGGCUGAGUUGUCUCGAGGCUAGGAUCAGUAUGGGCACUUUUCAAAGUUCCUUCGAGUUUAAUGUGAUAGAGGCUGGAAUUCUUCACAGUCUUUUACGUUGUACUACACAGAGUCUGCACAAGACUCAGUCGUUUGUGAGAAAAUGAAUACAGUGGAAUGGCAAAA
rnacentral:lncRNA from 1 species